CCUACGGGAGGCAGCAGUGGGGAAUAUUGGGCAAUGGGCGCAAGCCUGACCCAGCAACGCCGCGUGAAGGAAGAAGGCUUUCGGGUUGUAAACUUCUUUUGACAGGGAAGAGUAGAAGACGGUACCUGUCGAAUAAGCCACGGCUAACUACGUGCCAGCAGCCGCGGUAAUACGUAGGUGGCAAGCGUUGUCCGGAUUUACUGGGUGUAAAGGGCGGGUAGCCGGGUUGACAAGUCAGAUGUGAAAUCCUGCGGCUUAACCGCAGAACUGCAUUUGAAACUGGUGAUCUUGAGUACUGGAGAGGCAGACGGAAUUCCUAGUGUAGCGGUGAAAUGCGUAGAUAUUAGGAGGAACACCAGUGGCGAAGGCAGUCUGCUGGACAGCAACUGACGGUGAGGCGCGAAAGCGUGGGGAGCAAACAGGAUUAGAUACCCCUGUAGUC
rnacentral:rRNA from 1 species